rnacentral:rRNA from 1 species
GAGGGUCCUGUCUAUAGUCUACCUGCAGUCGAGCGGCAGCACACAAAUAGCUUGCUCCUUGGCCGGCGAGCGGCGGACGGGUGAGGAAUGCCUGGGAAUCUGCCUGAUCGAGGGGGAUAACUAAUGGAAACUUACGCUAAUACCGCAUACCACCUACGGACGAAAGAGGGGGACCUUCGGGCCUUGUGCCAUUGAAUGUGCCGAUGUGGGAUUAGCUAGUUGUGGGGUAACGGCUCACCUAGGCGACGAUCCCUAGCUGGUCUGAGAGGAUGAUCAGCCACACUGGAACUGAGACACGGUCCAGACUCCUACGGGAGGCAGCAGUGGGGAAUAUUGGACAAUGGGCGCAAGCCUGAUCCAGCCAUGCCGCGUGUAUGAAGAAGGCCUUCGGGUUGUAAAGCCCUUUUUGCGGAAAAGAAAGCCUUCUGGCUAAUACCCGGUUGGAUAUGACGUUACCCGCAGAAUAAGCACCGGCUAACUUCGUGCCAGCAGCCGCGGAAAUACGAAGGGUGCAAGCGUUACUCGGAAUUUACUGGGCGUAAAGCGCGCGCAGGCGGUC